rnacentral:lncRNA from 1 species
UUCUUCUCAAUCUGGUCCAUCCUGGGCCUCUCAGGGUUCCACACUUACCUCGUGGCCUCCAACCUGACAACUAAUGAAGACAUCAAAGGGUCUUGGUCCAGCAAGAGGGGUGGUGAGGCCUCUGUCAACCCCUACAGCCAUAAAAGUAUUAUCACCAACUGCUGUGCUGUGCUCUGUGGCCCACUGCCUCCCAGCCUGAUCGACCGGAGGGGAUUUGUGCAGUCUGAUACUGUGCUGCCCUCGCCCAUCAGAAGUGAUGAGCCAGCCUGUGGAGCCAAGCCAGACGCCAGCAUGGUAGGAGGCCACCCCUAAAUGUGACUGAGUGCUUGCCACCCACCGCCCUCCACGCCUGCCGGGACCCUCCCCGCCUGCCGGGACCCUCCCCAUGCCAUCUGAGGGAAGCAGAGCUGCCAAAGACUCCAGUCU